CAGGUGCAAAGACGGCCCAGCCGGGUCCCCUGCCCGAGUCUCUCUCCCAGAGGAAACAAAGCCCGCUGGCGGGCGAAGGUCUGCGCGGAGUGACACGGAGUCUCCUGACACCUAGACUUCACCCUAUUAAGGAUCUUUAAUUCGAUGUUGCAAGGACUCCUCCGAGGAUGCAGCACAGGAAGGACUAUUUCCGCAGAAUUCCUGGAAGUCUUGGUCUGACUGUAGCACAGCCCUGGGUAAGGGCGCCGUGGCCUGUCUGCACCAGUUAGGGCGCCAGGGACGGACAAUCCAACCUCAAAUAGGUUAAGCAAAGGAAGAAAACAAACAGGAAAUUGCUUAUGUAACCAGGAAGCCAGAAAGUCUGGGGUGCUCGGCAGACACAGGUGGACCCAGGGCCUGAAAUGAUUCCAUCAGGAUGCUCCGUCUCUCCAUUGUGUUUCUUUAGAUGCGCUUCACUCUCAGGAAUUGGCUCACUCUGCGAAGCCAGUCCUUCCAUAGCUGGCAAGGCCUCAGACGUCAAAGCAUCAGAAAUGCAGAAAUUUUAAAAAAUGAAUACACCUCACAACUAGUAGUCACAGUCAAGAGUUUGUGUCUCAGCAUCUUCAGCCCAUGCCCGGGAGAAGCUCUGUUCGGCCCACUUGUGUGAUCCGCUCACCCCCACAUGCCGGCGAGGACGUGGACAGCCUGAACCUCAUGCGCUGUUGAUAGAAACGUGAAAUGGGCCAGACACCCUGAAAACAGGCGAUUUCUCCAAAAACUAAGCAGACACCCUGUGACUCAGCCGUGGCACAUUUAUCCCAGGGAAAAUGGAAGCUUAUGUCCACACACAAUUCUGUACACGAUGUUCAUAACAGUUUAUUUGGAAUAGUCGCCCAAAAGGCAAUUUCAAAAUGUCACGUACUGUGUGAUUCCAUUUAUACAACGUUCUUGAAAUGAAGAAGCCGGAGGGCUGGAGAAGGGACUCCCGGCUGCCAGGGUUGGGGGCGGGGCUAGCAGACGGGGUGCCGGGAGGGCAACUUUGCGGGGCUGGAUUAGUUCCCUCCCUGGAGCGGGGAGACUGUUACUGGUUCGGUACUCCGGACGAAAUGACGUAGCUCUGCAUGCGUUGUGUCAGUGUCGAUUUCCUGGCUCUGACGCUGCACUGCAUUACCAGAGACGUAGUCAUGGGGGAACCCGGUGAAGGGUGCGUGGGACCUCUCUGUCCUGUGUUUGCAACCCCCUGUGAGUCCACAAUUAUUUACAAGUAACAAGUAAACAGAUCUUAAAGGACUCUUAGCUCAGAGGGGAGAUAAAUCUCUGUGUGGGUGCCCUGGCUGUGUUAGGCCAGUGAAUGAUCACAGUUGAGUUGGGGGAAAGGCCGGGUCCUGGCUCUGUUUUUCUGCUGUGUACUAAAUGUCUUUGUCCCUCCCUGCACUCCGGCGGCGCCCAGGACUGCUGGGUGAUGAGCUCUGGAGCUGACUGACCUGCUUACCCUUAGGAGUGAAGAAAUGAAGACCGCAGAUCUUUGGAAACAAGAUUGGUGGCAUUUUAUGUAUUCAACGUGGCAAUCUGGGGAACACUUACGAUGUUCAAGGAGAAAAAAUAGGAGACAAUUUUAUGAGCCCUGUGAUUGUAUUCAUAUAUAAAAUAUCAAACAUACGGAUAAUACAGUGACAUGUGUCAGUUACUUCUCAAUAAAACUGGGGGGAAAGCACCUGGAUUAAAACGGGAAGGGAACAAGCGCAACUGGAUAUACCUACGUUUUCACGGCGGUGAGGUCAGGGCGGGUCAUCCACCUCUGCCUUUUUAACUAGUUAUGAAGUUGUUUGUGGUAUUUUUAUUUAUGUGAAAUUGUGUUUUAUUUUUAUAAUGUAUACUUCGAGAUACAUUCCUCCUACUUUGUCUCUCAGCAACCAUGUCAUUAGCUUCUUGUGCAUCCUCCUUUCAUAUUUCCUUCGUGCAGAUCCAAGCAAGCCUGAGUAAUAUUCUUACGUUCCUCAUUCCACCAUAAAGGUAGCAUUCCAAGUGCACGGUUUCCCUUCCUUUUUUUCCACUUAGCCAUCUUUCCAUAUCCCUGCAUGGGCUUCCCCGCCUGAACAAACAAAGAAAGGGAAAUAAACGAACAAGCACAAGUGUGAAUGACCCCGUUGCCAAAGGAGCAAGCGCAUGAGCAGUCUGCGUCUAGGACGCACCUGGUUGGUCAGAGCAGCCAGGCCU